GGAGGGGACACGGAGGGGGAGGGGGGUGGAGAUAGAAAAGUUGUCAGGAAGAAAAAACCCGAAAUCAGCCCAAAAAAACGUCCCGAGGGCACCGGCCCGGGCGGCCCGGGGGUGUCCCCAAGUCUGUCCCUCCAGGGGGACACGGUACCGAAGGCGGGGGUGGUGACCAGGACCCCGUGGUGACAGCGGUGGCACGGCCCCGGGUGACAGUGGUGGCACGGCCCCGGGUGACAGCGGUGACACGGCCCUGGGUGACAGUGGUGUUCCCAGGGAGGGGACAGGGCCAGGGUGACAGCCCUGUCCCCACAGGGCAGGUACCAAAGCCACCAUCCUGUCCCCAAGGGUGGGUGACUCACCCCCAAGGCAGACACCGGUGGCAGGGUGACAGUCCUGUCCCCAAGGUGGGCACAGGGGUGACACCGCUGUCCCCAGGGCAGAUGCUGGGGUGACAAUCUUGUCCCCAAGGUGGGCACAGGGGUGCCAAUCCUGUCCCCAGUGCCAGGUGACAAUCCUUUCCCCAGUGCCAGGGUGCCAAUCCUGUCCCCAGUGCAGGGUGCCA